CUGAGGGAAGAGGUAGAUCUUCUAGGUUGGUAAGAAGUCUGUCUCUCUGGAGAUCAAUUGUCUCUUUCUGAACCCCUAGAUACCUCUCACUCAACUCUCAAUAACAGCAAUCAAAAGUCAUCUAUAGAUUUUGUGGACUGGGACUUUGAAGAGUCAUCUACAGAGAUCUCUUCCAAGGAUCUCCCUCUCUAUUUCGCUCUCCAUUACCUGUCCCUGGACUCCUGUAUUUAAAGUAGGGGCAUAGGAGGGGCCAAGGAAAACAAGAUUUUCUAUUUGAUGGUAAAGGCCACAGGGACUGGAGAUGACUGAAUUGGGAUGGAGGGGGAAAGUGUAACAUGGACUUAUGCUUUAGGAAAUCAGAGGGACAAUGGAAUAAAAGAUGGCCUGGAGGUGGGAGAGACUCCAGACAAGGAAAACUACCAGCAGACUAUUGUGAAAAUCCAGAUAUGCAGGGACCAGGGUUUGUAACAAGGUGGUGGCAGUGAUAAAGGCGAAAAGGCGAUAUAUAAGAGAGAUGCUUCAAAGGUACAACUUGGAUUUGGAGUGGAUCAUGGCCAAGUUUGAAGAGGAAAUGGAUCUCAUUUUGGGGGAAUAUUAGGCAGGGACAUGGAGGGUCCCGCCUCUCUUUGGCUUGAUGGCAGCGAGCAUGGUGGCAGUAAGAAGCUGUUUCAGAGUACUUUCUCUCCUGAGUCCGGAUCCUGAGCUUCCUUGCCACCAUGACAGCUUAAAGAAGGAAGGAGCCACUCUUUUUUUUUCCCCCUGUCUCAAAGCCUUGCACAAGAAUCUGCAUGUAGCAGAUGCAAAUAUCUGUCCUAUCUAAUUGACUCUUUUACUCACAGGAGUCUUUUACUUAUAAGAUACAACACCAGAGCUGAUCUUAAAUGUUGGAGAACAUAUCUCCCGAAUUUUAUAUAUGAGGAAAUGGAGGACAAGAGGAGAAAAGGAACUUUUCCCAAGGUCACUCAAAAGUAUCUAGUAGAUAUCAAUAAAACAUUAUGUCGUUUUAUAAAAAGGAAUCCAGACUGCUGACAAGUAUAAUGAUGAAUUCAGCAAUACUAAAUCCUAUUUUUACUUCUACCCCUUAAUAAGCCUAACUGUUUUCACCAAAUUAAAAAGAUUUGUCUGACUAUUUCAUUGGGUAUGUCAUAG